rnacentral:rRNA from 1 species
GAUCCGACCCUGCGCAUUAGACGCGGGGGGAGCUCAACGGAUAAAAGCUACUCUGGGGAUAACAGGCUAGUACCGCCCGAGCGUCCACAGCGACGGCGGUGUUCGGCACCUCGAUGUCGGCUCACCUUAUCCCGGGGCUGGAGAAGGUCCCAAGGGUAUGGCUGUUCGCCAUUUAAAAAGGUACGUGAGCUGGGUUCAGACCGUUCAGGAAUCAUGAAGCGUGUAACGUGUAACCUGUAACGCAAGAAAUUCUUGUGUUACACGAUAUAUGAUUCGCGAUUCGUGUCUUGGACAGUCUGAACCCUGAUGAAUCGAGAGUAAGUUAUCUAUCCGAAGAAAAAAAGAAAAGUCUUUUCGUCGAAGAUAAAAAUCUAUAUGCGAUAGCGAUAUCGCGUUGAUUUUUCCUUAUGAGUUGUCAUGGGGUUAAAAGAGAUCCAAUCACAUCACGGCGGUCAUAUAGAGUAAUCUGUAUGAAACAAGCUGACUAUAUCGGUAAACUCCCAAGACGCGAAUGUUCGCAAAUCCAAUCAAUUGACUGGGCGCGAAUGCACGCGAAUGGACAAUACCGAGGAUAUGAUGAGAUCGUAAGCUUCAUUGAGGGAAAUUUAGUUGGGGGGUCGUUCAAGCAAGGACGCCAGGCACGGACCUGGAAAUAGGGGUUCAAUUCCCUUCCUCCCAACCAAAUUGUAAACAGCUCGAGGUGCGGAACCUCCUAAACGUCUUCGUCGGCCGUAUCUUAAACGGUCCUAAAUCGAAGUAUGCGCGGGUUGAUUGUCGCAGGUUCAAUCCUGCUUCACAUUCCCACUCGAGUUGGGGUCCCGCAUGGAAGAGUUUCUGGCUGCUGGCGGCAGGCAAUGCCACGUCGUGAGACAGUGUGCGUGUGCAGAAACUUCCAUGCGGGACCCCGUCCCACAAUGUUCUUGAGGGGAGUAAAAAAGACGAGUGUACCUGGCUCUUCCGUCGCCCGUGUGAAUAGGGCAGCCACACAUCGGUCGUCAGGUUGGUCCAAUCCCAACCCUCCCCACCAGUCCGAACUUCGGUUCGGACCCUCAAUGAAGCUUAUGAUUAGAAACCAUCACAUCCGUAGAGACUGAACGUCAGCCUACCGUGCGCACAAGGCGCACGUAACAAACAAAAUAUAACAACCAACACACAAGGAAUUCUUUGUCUGUUGUCUGUCGAAUGUUGUUUGUUUUUGUAGAUGCUCCAGUCCAAUGCAACGAGUAAUCGUUGGUAUCAUGCGUGAGACAGGUUGGUCUCCUAUCUGCUGCAGGCGUUGAUUUUUGAGGAAAUUCGCUUCUAGUACGAGAGGACCGAAGUGAACUGACCUCUGGUGUACCAGUUGUUCUGCCAAGAGCAUUGCUGGGUAGCUAUGUCGGGUAUGGAUAACCUCUGAAAGCAUCUAAGAGGGAAGCCAGUUCCAAGAUUAGAAAUCGUUAAGACCCGUGAGAGAUGAUCACGUUGAUAGGCGUUAGGUGGAAGCAUAGCAAUAUGUUGAGCCGAGACGUACUAAUUCGUCGAAUUCUCUUGUUAG